UAGGGCUUUCUCGGGCGCCCUUUCUCCUCUACAUGCGUCUUCAUCGUUGACCAUCUCAACCGUCUGAGUUUUUAGGGUUUAGGUGGUGUUGUUUGGUUUUUGUUGAUGCAACGAGUUGACGCCACCCGCGCUAAUGUGUGUGUUAUUUGGUUCCCUGUUCUCCUGUAUCUACAUCUCCAUCGGAAUGCAAGAUGAUAUCGCCACAUUAGAUGAGUUUUAGGGUUUGUGGAUGGAUGGGAACGACAGAUGAAGAAAAGGGGGAAAGAAGGUCUGGUGAAAGGAAGCGUCGUGUAGGAGAAGAUGGCU
rnacentral:lncRNA from 1 species